AGCGGAGGAAAAGAAACCAACAGGGAUUGCCCCAGUAACGGCGAGUGAAGCGGCAACAGCUCAAAUUUGAAAUCUGGCCCCCGGGUCCGAGUUGUAAUUUGUAGAGGAUGCUUUUGGCGAGGUGCCUUCCGAGUUCCCUGGAACGGGACGCCAUAGAGGGUGAGAGCCCCGUCUGGUCGGACACCGAGCCUCUGUAAAGCUCCUUCGACGAGUCGAGUAGUUUGGGAAUGCUGCUCAAAAUGGGAGGUAUAUGUCUUCUAAAGCUAAAUAUUGGCCAGAGACCGAUAGCGCACAAGUAGAGUGAUCGAAAGAUGAAAAGCACUUUGAAAAGAGGGUUAAAAAGUACGUGAAAUUGUUGAAAGGGAAGCGCCUAUGACCAGACUUGGGCCCGGUGAAUCAUCCAGCGUUCUCGCUGGUGCACUUUGCCGGGCACAGGCCAGCAUCAGUUUGGCGCGGGGGAGAAAGGCUCUGGGAAUGUGGCUCCUCCGGGAGUGUUAUAGCCCACUGCGUAAUACCCUGCGCCGGACUGAGGUACGCGCAUUGCAAGGAUGCUGGCGUAAUGGUCAUCAGCGACCCGUCUUGAAACACGGACCAAGGAGUCGUCUUCGUAUGCGAGUGUUCGGGUGUCAAACCCCUACGCGUAAUGAAAGUGAACGCAGGUGAGAGCUUCGGCGCAUCAUCGACCGAUCCUGAUGUUCUCGGAUGGAUUUGAGUAAGAGCAUACGGGGCCGGACCCGAAAGAAGGUGAACUAUGCCUGUAUAGGGUGAAGCCAGAGGAAACUCUGGUGGAGGCUCGCAGCGGUUCUGACGUGCGAAUCGAUCGUCAAAUAUGGGCAUGGGGGCGAAAGACUAAUCGAACCUUCUAGUAGCUGGUUCG
rnacentral:rRNA from 1 species